UGAGGAAUAUUGGUCAAUGGGUGAGAGCCUGAACCAGCCAAGUAGCGUGCAGGAUGACGGCCCUAUGGGUUGUAAACUGCUUUUAUGUGGGGAUAAAGUGCGUGACGUGUCAUGCAUUGCAGGUACCACAUGAAUAAGGACCGGCUAAUUCCGUGCCAGCAGCCGCGGUAAUACGGAAGGUCCGGGCGUUAUCCGGAUUUAUUGGGUUUAAAGGGAGCGUAGGCUGUCUAUUAAGCGUGUUGUGAAAUAUACCGGCUCAACCGGUGGCUUGCAGCGCGAACUGGUCGACUUGAGUAUGCAGGAAGUAGGCGGAAUUCAUGGUGUAGCGGUGAAAUGCUUAGAUAUCAUGACGAACUCCGAUUGCGCAGGCAGCUUACUGUAGCAUAACUGACGCUGAUGCUCGAAAGUGCGGGUAUCAAACAGG
rnacentral:rRNA from 1 species